CUUCCAAGUGCCAGGCACUAUUAUAAAGGCAUUGUGUGGAUGAUGUCAUGUGAUCUGCAUAAUAACCCUCCAAUUAUUUUCCCCAUUUGACAGAUGAAGCCGAGCCUUAAAAAAAUUAAUGUAACUUGUCAAAGUUUACAUAGCUAGCAAGAAAUGAAACUGAGAUUCAAACGCAGAAGUCCAUUAUAUGGAACAGCCUCAUGUUGGUGAUGCUUUAAGGAAUGGAGCAGAAGAACUUGCAUCUCUUCUUGGAGAAAAGGAGUGUUGAGAGAGGACUACAGAUGCAGGAGGCAAGAUGGUGAGAGGGGAUCAAGAACUGAGCUGGGAGUAGAGGUUUGGAGCAAAAGAUCCGUACCCCUGACUAAAUCAGAAGACAUUCUCCCCAACCUGCCAUGGAAAUGUCUGUAUGGACGUGGAGCUGACUGAAGUCUGAAGGAGCUAAUUCCCCUGGAAACAGAUCUUGUGUAUUUCUGGAGCUUGAUAGAUCAUCAAGGGGCUGUUUGUAAAGGAAGUAUUUUGGCUGUUGGCUCUCUAUAUCUUAUACAGCAUGAGUAUUUUAAAGGUUCGGUUACUUAAGGGGCAAUCUUUAAAAUCUGAAUCUAGAUUAGGUCGACAGAAAACUAUGAAUCACUAGCCACUGAAUGGAAGGUGGCAGCGUUUAUCAGCAGCAUCUAAGAAUCUAAGGCCAGCGCCUAUAACAUCACAUCCGCUCCUUUCUGCUAUCAGUUGGAUGCAACAGGAAGCUGACGAAGCUCUGAAGUUGGUUCAGGGCCUCCAGCUGACCCCUCUCUGUAGACGUGUCUCUCUUACAGCUCAGCUUUACAUCAUAGGCAGAAGGACUUGUGGUAAGUGUGACUAAGAAGGAGCUGUUUCCAUGGGGAACAUUUAUGCAAAAUUAACAC
rnacentral:lncRNA from 1 species